AUGCCUAAUAUACUUAGUUUAACCUGUAUCUGUUUUAAUUUUGUUCUUUAUCCUACUAGUUUUUUCUUUGCCAAAUUACCCGAAGCUUAUGUUAUUUUCAAUCCAAUCAUGGAUAUUAUGCCUGUUGUACCUCUAUUAUUUUUUCUAUUAGCCUUUGUUUGGCAAGCUGUUGUAAGUUUUCGAUGA
rnacentral:rRNA from 1 species